GACAUGCUUCAGCUUAUCAUU
rnacentral:misc_RNA from 1 species